rnacentral:misc_RNA from 1 species
GCAAACUUGGUCAUUUAGAGGAAGUAAAAGUCGUAACAAGGUCUCCGUUGGUGAACCAGCGGAGGGAUCAUUACCGAGUUUACAACUCCCAACCCAUGUGAACAUACCUAUCGUUGCUUCGGCGGUUGCGCCCCGGCUUAGCCCGGAGCAAGGCGCCCGCCGGAGACCCCUAAAAACCUGUUUUUUUAACUUUGAGAACUUCUGAGUACAAACACAAAUCAUCAAAACUUUUAACAACGGAUCUCUUGGCUCUGGCAUCGAUGAAGAACGCAGC